CCAAUAGCGUAUAUUAAAGUUGUUGCAGUUAAAAAGCUCGUAGUUGAAUUUCGGGAUCAAUCUAUCGGUCGUGCAAUAGUACGUACUGAUUUUAUUGAUUCCUCUCUUCUGAUGAACUAUGAUGUCAUUAAUUUGGUGUCAUAGGGAAUCAGGACUGUUACUUUGAAAAAAUUAGAGUGUUUAAAGCAGGCUCACGCUUGAAUACAUUAGCAUGGAAUAACGAAAUAGGACGUUUGAUUCUAUUUUGUUGGUUUCUAGGAUCGACGUAAUGAUUAAUAGGGAUAGUUGGGGGCAUUAGUAUUCAAUUGUCAGAGGUGAAAUUCUUGGAUUUAUUGAAGACUAACUACUGCGAAAGCAUUUGCCAAGGAUGUUUUCAUUAAUCAAGAACGAAAGUUAGGGGAUCGAAGACGAUCAGAUACCGUCGUAGUCUUAACCAUAAACUAUGCCGACUAGGGAUCGGAUGAUGUUAAUUUUUUAAUGACUCAUUCGGCGCCUUACG
rnacentral:rRNA from 1 species